AAGAACAAAGGAGCUGUACUCCGUGAUGAUGUUUACACUAUCAAUCUCAAGUUUUGCCUAUCCAGAAAUAUGUAUCCAGCGGUGGUCCAAUGGGCCCAUGGGCCAGCCCACCUGUCAAAACAUCUGAUGAACUCAUUGAUUGACAAGUAUUUUGAAACACCAGGCAUCACUACCUUAACACAGAAUUACUGUAAAUCUUGUACUAUAUGUGCUAAAUGCAAUCCUGGAAAGAUUAUAAAGACUGCACCUAAUCAUCUAGCUAAACCACAAUACCCCUUCCAGAGGAUCCAGAUUGAUCACAUUCAGAUGCCAAAGAGUGGACGUUAUGAAUAUGCAUUGGUCAUAGUGGAC